GUACGACUAAUUUGACAGGCAGUAUGAUAAGGAACAAUCUGAAUGACAUGUAAACAGGAGGGGAUAAAUUCCAAGCACAGCCUGAAUGAGAAGUACAACUUAUUUCCCAUAACCCAGAUGCGUUUUGAACACAUCUAUGCAGUCUCCAUGUGAAACCAGGUGCUGUUCCCAAAGGAGAAAACACUGCCCUCCAGUGGUCUUCAAUGAAGAAAUGGAAAUAGUUUCAGGUGGAAACCAGGCUUCUUGGAAGACUUCAAACUAUGCCAAAUGGUCUGAUUUCACCAUAGAGAUUAUCCGAAGACUACCCAUUGAUUGAUCGCCCGUAGAGCUGCAUUUGGUGUAAAGAAAAAACUCACAGCUUUAUUGGCUCUCAGGAGACAAAACAAACAGAACAAGAUAUUCAUAUUAAUGCAAACAAUGCAACAAAUGAGGGGAAGAAUCGCCCGGCUGAAGCGAGGCCCAGCGCGGCAGCUGCUGGGGGCGCUGAGACCGGCCUGAGCGCCUCCCGC
rnacentral:lncRNA from 1 species